rnacentral:rRNA from 1 species
AUGUCGCGGCUGGACGGCAACACCGACCUGGACGGCGUCGCCAGGCGCCUCAGCUUCUCCUCCGCCUCCCCGGGCCAGCUGCCGCCCCUCCCGCCCCGCACGUCCCGGAGGCAGCCGGCUCUCCCGCCGAUCGCGGAGGACCCACGGGAGCAGCAGUCGGCGUCGACGGCGACGACGCAGACGCCCCCGUCGUCGCAGGCGCCUCGCGCGACGACGCGCGGGAGGUUCACGGUCUACACGGAGGCACCGCCGUCCGUGCCCCACACGCAGGCGGCCCCCGUACCCCCCGCGCCGUCGACGUCGCCGCUCGAGACGCAGCAGGCGACCCCCGUACCCCCCGCGGCGUCGACGUCGUCGCUUCAGACGCUGCAGGCGGUCGCGGCCGCGUUGGGGCGGUUGGAGCAGCAACGCCAGGCCGGGCUGCAGCAGGCGUCGGUGGCGGCGCAGCAGCAGCAGGCGUUUGUGGCCGCGUACGAGGGAUGGGAGCGGGGGCGUCAAGCCGGGCUGCAGCAGCAGCCGUGGGCGCAGCCGCAGGCGGAGCAGCAGGUGAGGCUGUACACGGCGGAAGGGGAACCGGCGGGGUACGCGACCAAGUGGGAGGAGCUCCAUCCGGUGUCCCAGCACCUUCUCCUGCAAAUCGAGGACAAGAUAAGGGAUGAGAGGCAUGCGUGUGAGCAGGUGGAACAAUGCAGGCGCCUCAGUGACCCAUCAGUCUCCAACAAGGGUUUCGAAUUGGAUGCUCGUCAGAUUACCCAGGAGAUUGGAUUAAUCUCCACCAUCAUCGACAGAGAGAAGGCUUCCAUUCAGAGCUUAAUGGCUGAUGUCAGAGAAAUAGUGUCUCAUGUGGAUUUUGCUAUAUGUGCAUAUGGAAAAGUGAGACAAAGGUUCGUCAGCGAAGGUGCUGCACUUGCAUAUUGUGCUGGAUCUUCAAGCGCUCCUACUGAUUUCAGUCAUCACUCGACAAUGGCCCGAACCUUUCGUAACUGUUAUGCUUCUGUAUAUCGGCCUUCUCUCUUUAUGCAACACAUUGUUGAAAGAUUUGAGAAGCAGCUUGAAGAAUGUUGCAAAUUGAUUGGAGAGCUAGAGCAGCUUGUAAAAACGAAGAAUGAUAAAACCCAUCCAGCUUCUUUGAAAUCUCUGCCAAAAGUUAUGUCGAAUGUGCAUGAUUAUCUUAUCUUUGUUGCUUCUAAGGUGGAAAAUCUUCAUCAACAUGCCGAAACAAUAAGAACUCAAUAUCUUAAUGAUCUGCGAAACAGUGGUAACUGGAAUGAUCCAUUUGUUGAAGCGGAUAGAAAAGAGGCAGCGAAACAAGAAGCUGCUGCCAGAAUAGUCCAUCCAACAUUGCCUGUAACUAGUGGCGACACCCGAAGCAGGCGCCAGAUGUGUAGUUGA